rnacentral:rRNA from 1 species
AUGCACGCUGGCGGCGUGCCUCAUACCUGCCAGUCGCGCGAACAGACGAGGAGCUUGCUCCUCUGACGUUAGCGGCGGACGGGUGAGUAACACGUGGAUAACCUACCUAUAAGACUGGGAUAACUUCGGGAAACCGGAGCUAAUACCGGAUAAUAUAUUGAACCGCAUGGUUCAAUAGUGAAAGACGGUUUUGCUGUCACUUAUAGAUGGAUCCGCGCCGCAUUAGCUAGUUGGUAAGGUAACGGCUUACCAAGGCGACGAUGCGUAGCCGACCUGAGAGGGUGAUCGGCCACACUGGAACUGAGACACGGUCCAGACUCCUACGGGAGGCAGCAGUAGGGAAUCUUCCGCAAUGGGCGAAAGCCUGACGGAGCAACGCCGCGUGAGUGAUGAAGGUCUUCGGAUCGUAAAACUCUGUUAUUAGGGAAGAACAAAUGUGUAAGUAACUAUGCACGUCUUGACGGUACCUAAUCAGAAAGCCACGGCUAACUACGUG